CCAGACUCCUACGGGAGGCAGCAGUGGGGAAUAUUGCACAAUGGGGGAAACCCUGAUGCAGCGACGCCGCGUGAGUGAAGAAGUAUUUCGGUAUGUAAAGCUCUAUCAGCAGGGAAGAAAAUGACGGUACCUGACUAAGAAGCCCCGGCUAACUACGUGCCAGCAGCCGCGGUAAUACGUAGGGGGCAAGCGUUAUCCGGAUUUACUGGGUGUAAAGGGAGCGUAGACGGCAUGGCAAGUCAGAUGUGAAAGCCCGGGGCUCAACCCCGGGACUGCAUUUGAAACUGUCAGGCUGGAGUGCAGGAGAGGUAAGUGGAAUUCCUAGUGUAGCGGUGAAAUGCGUAGAUAUUAGGAAGAACACCAGUGGCGAAGGCGGCCUGCUGGACGACAACUGACGGUGAGGCGCGAAAGCGUGGGGAGCAAACAGGAUUAGAUACCCGCGUA
rnacentral:rRNA from 1 species